rnacentral:tRNA from 1 species
GCCGGAGUGGUGAAAUUGGUAGACACGCUUGGCUUAGGACCAAGUGCUUUCGGGCGUGGGGGUUCGAGUCCCUUCUCCGGUA